AGAAAAGAUGAAAGAGAAAAGAAAGUGACUGAGUUUCGAAUGUUUGGUACUGUUGGAUUGUCUGUUGGUGCUUUGGUUUCUUUUUUGUUUUCUUUUAU
rnacentral:ribozyme from 13 species